rnacentral:lncRNA from 1 species
UGCUACUGUACUCACCAGCCGUCUAAUCGGCUUGUACAUGAAGAAUCACCUGGGCUCAGCUAGGCAGUUCUCUUUCAGAGUCUCACAUGAGGUUGCAGCCAGGCAGUAGCUAGAGUCAUCUCAAAGUCUUCACUAAUAUGUUUAAUGCCUGGGCUUGGAAGACUCUGUUUGAAUUGUUUACUAGGAGAUAAAACAGCUGGGGUCGCUCAAACCAAUCUCUCCUUCUCUCCCUCUCUCUAUUCAGUCUCCUGUAGAGAGUGUCCUUGGGUAAUUGGAAGUCACAUAACACUCUUCUAGCUUAUUGUAUUAGACAAGACAGUCAAAGCUCAUUUAAGUUCAUGGGGGUAGGGACAUAACCGCCACCCCUUGAUGGAAGGAGUGCAAACAACUUGCAGACAUGUUUUGUGACCGCCACAGACUGGAAGACUGUCCCAGCCAUAGACUUUCAUCUGAGGAGUCUUAAGAAUCUUCCAGAGGCAAGACAUUAAAAAGUCUAAAAUCCAUGUUAUGCCACACCUAAGAAGAGACAUUUCUGUCUCCACCAAAAAGAGGGGAGGGGAUCCUACGUGUUAAAGUAAGGAAGGAACAGGAAAGCCUAUGUUGGGGAGUCAAGUCAUGGGAUUCAUCUUCCUGCUGAG